UCAUCCUCCCCGUGUUUUGGUGACCGCCCUUGUCCUUCCCCCCAGGUUGGGCAGCACCACCCCCCCGAAGCCUCUGGAGGAAAAGCCCGGGGUGUCCCUCGGCAUGUCCCACCUCGCGGCGGGGUGCGCGGCCGUCGGCCUUCGGAAGAAGUUGGGCGGCCCCGGGCGGCCCCGGAGACGAGUGGUGCAGCGGUUGUAAGCAAGAUGCGGUAGCACGUGACCCCGGAACGGAAACCCUGAUGCUGGUUCCCCGCCACUCCUGUGCUCUUUUUUCUGACACUUGGCUCCAAGCAGAUGCAUCACAGGAUGAAUGAAAUGAACUUGAGUCCAGUGGGGAUGGAGCAGCUGACUUCAUCCUCUGUGAGCAAUGCCUUGCCAGUCUCAGGGAGUCACCUGGGGUUGGCUGCCUCGCCCACUCACAAUGCUAUUCCCACCCCAGGCCUGCCAGUGGCAAUUCCAAACCUGGGUCCUUCCCUGAGCUCUCUGCCUUCUGCUUUGUCUCUGAUGCUCCCAAUGGGUAUUGGGGAUCGAGGGGUGAUGUGUGGGUUACCCGAAAGAAACUAUACCUUACCUCCACCACCUUACCCCCACCUGGAGAGCAGUUACUUCAGAACCAUUCUACCUGGCAUUUUAUCUUAUUUAGCUGACAGACCACCUCCUCAGUACAUCCACCCUAACUCUAUAAAUGUUGACAAUAAUACGGCAUUAUCUAUUACCAAUAACCCUUCAGCACUAGAUCCCUACCAGUCCAAUGGAAAUGUUGGAUUAGAACCAGGCAUUGUGUCAAUAGACUCUCGCUCUGUGAACACACAUGGCGCCCAAAGUCUUCAUCCCAGUGAUGGCCAUGAGGUGGCCUUGGACACAACAAUUACUAUGGAGAACGUCUCUAGGGUUACCAGCCCGAUCUCUACAGAUGGAAUGGCAGAAGAGCUUACGAUGGACGGUGUUACAGGCGAGCAUUCUCAAAUCCCGAACGGCUCCAGAAGUCAUGAACCUCUGUCUGUGGAUUCUGUGAGCAACAAUCUUGCAGCAGACACUGUAGGACAUGGUGGUGUGAUACCCAUUCAUGGGAAUGGCCUGGAGCUCCCUGUGGUCAUGGAGACAGACCACAUUUCAAGUCGGGUCAGCGGGAUGUCUGACAGUGCCCUCAGUGACUCCAUCCACACCGUGGCCAUGAGCACCAACUCUGUAAGCGUGGCACUCUCUACCUCACACAACCUCGCCUCCCUAGAAUCUGUUUCCCUCCAUGAAGUUGGCCUAAGCCUAGAACCUGUGGCUGUCUCCUCCAUCACCCAGGAGGUUGCUAUGGGGACAGGUCAUGUAGAUGUAUCUUCAGACAGUCUUUCUUUUGUACCACCUUCACUGCAAAUGGAAGACUCCAAUUCAAACAAGGAAAAUAUGGCAACCUUGUUUACAAUUUGGUGCACACUCUGUGACCGAGCCUAUCCUUCAGACUGCCCUGAUCACGGACCAGUGACUUUUGUUCCUGACACUCCGAUAGAGAGUAGAGCGAGGCUUUCUCUCCCAAAGCAGCUUAUUCUCCGCCAGUCCAUUGUGGGAGCAGAAGUUGUUGGUGUCCUUCCACUGACAGGUGUAUGGACUGGAGAAACCAUUCCUGUGCGGACUUGCUUUGGGCCUCUUAUUGGCCAGCAGAGUCACUCCAUGGAAGUAGCAGAAUGGACAGACAAGGCAGUUAACCACAUUUGGAAGAUAUACCACAAUGGUGUCCUUGAAUUCUGCAUCAUUACAACUGAUGAAAAUGAAUGUAAUUGGAUGAUGUUUGUGCGCAAAGCCAGGAACCGGGAAGAGCAGAAUUUGGUGGCUUAUCCCCAUGAUGGAAAAAUUUAUUUCUGCACCUCACAAGAUAUUCCUCCUGAAAACGAACUGCUUUUUUAUUAUAGCCGGGAUUAUGCGCAGCAGAUUGGAGUUCCGGAACACCCAGAUGUGCACCUCUGUAACUGUGGCAAGGAGUGCAGCUCCUAUACAGAGUUCAAAGCCCACCUGACCAGCCACAUCCAUAACCACCUUCCUAGCCAGGGCCACAGCAGCAGCCACGGGUCAAGCCACAGCAAAGAAAGGAAGUGGAAGUGCUCCAUGUGCCCCCAGGCAUUUAUCUCUCCUUCCAAACUUCACGUCCAUUUCAUGGGUCACAUGGGCAUGAAGCCCCACAAAUGUGAUUUUUGUAGUAAAGCUUUUAGCGAUCCCAGCAACCUGCGGACCCACCUUAAAAUACAUACAGGUCAGAAGAACUACCGUUGUACUUUGUGUGACAAGUCUUUUACCCAGAAGGCUCACCUGGAGUCCCACAUGGUCAUCCACACAGGCGAGAAGAAUCUCAAGUGUGAUUACUGUGACAAGUUGUUCAUGCGGAGGCAGGACCUCAAGCAGCAUGUGCUCAUCCACACACAAGAACGCCAGAUCAAGUGUCCCAAAUGUGAUAAGCUGUUUUUAAGAACAAAUCAUUUAAAGAAGCAUCUCAAUUCACAUGAAGGAAAACGGGAUUAUGUCUGCGAAAAAUGUACAAAGGCUUAUUUAACCAAAUAUCAUCUUACCCGUCACCUGAAAACCUGCAAAGGGCCCACCUCCAGUUCAUCAGCACAAGAGGAGGAGGAAGAGGAGGAUGACUCAGAGGAGGAAGAACUAGCGGACUCUGUGGGGACAGAAGACUGUCGGAUGAACAGUGCUGUGUAUUCAGCGGAUGAGUCUCUUUCUGCACAUAAGUGAAAGAAGUCAGCUGUUUUUGGACAGAAAAUGCAAAAGGGAAAAACACAUAACCAAUUAUCCACUACAAUGGUUUUUAUAUAAAAUGGUUUCCGAUUUCCUUCCAGCCAACAGUCAAAACAGACUGAAUGGGAAUGGAUAAAGCACUUUUAGAGGAGUAUCCUGAUGAAAACACUUUAAAACAGAUUGAGAAAAGAGAGCAUGUGUCCUGUUUUUAAGUGAUGUGAGGGGAGGAAAGUGUCAACUUUUGAGGAUUAUUCCUACAGUCUCAUUUUGUGGAAGGAGAGGAAUGAGUCUUGAGGGAAAAAUCGGAUACAACUGGAAGGCUUUUAAAGUUAGAAGUGGAGAGAGCUUCCUACGUGUUAUAGCUUUGAGGUCACAUUCAAAUGUGCGCCUGUAUAACAUCGUUUCGACAAACUGCUUCCUGAGUGUGCCGCUCAUCUGCCCUCUUCCCUAAGGUGGUCGGUCUCAUCUGUUGCUGCUGUUGGGAUCAGUCUGUUGGGUAAAGCGUCACGUUGAGAAGCAGGAUAUUUUGAAUAUAAGCUCUGGAGCCCUGCUGAAGGUUCUCCAGUCUGGGCUUUGCUGUAUGAUGAUCAUAAACAUGCUAGAAGCUGUCAGCCCCUCAAGUAUGUCAACUUCCAGUAUCUGAUCACCAAACUACACCUUAGAUUCACUCAAAAACGACAUAUCUUCAGGUACACAAGUGGUUAUUUGUUAUGGGCUGGAUUGUGUCCCCCUAAAUCCAUAUAUUGAAGUUCUCACCCCCAGGUGACCGCAUUUGGAGCCUAAUGUCAAAACAAACAACAACAAAAAAAGAGGAAGCCUGGAAAACAGUUUUAAGUGAGAAUGUAGCUAUUGCUUAUUUACUGCUCUCUCUUCCAUUUUUUACCUUAGACUUAAAUGGCAUGUUCUGAGUCCUCAUAAGUUGAGUAAAUUAGUAACUGCUCCUUUGACAAGAUUUUACUUUGAACCUUCUCUGCCUAUUGCAGGUGGUCGGUCUCAUCUGUUGCUGCUGUUGCUUUUUCUUCAAAGAAGUGGUUAAGUUAAAAUGAGUCCCUUAGGGCAUGCCUUAUUUCAACAUGACUGGUGUCCUUACAAGAGGAAAUGUGGACACAGUCACGCACAGCGGGAAGACCAUGUGAAGGCAUGGAGAAGAUGGCCACCUGUAAGCCAAGGAGAGAGACCUCAAAAGAAACAAUUCUGACACUUAAUCUUAGACUUCUGGUCUCCAGAAUUGUGAGAAAAUUGAUUUCUCUUGUUUAAGGGAGUCGAUCUGUGGCACUUUGUUGUGGCAGCCUGGCAAACGAAACAGUGUCCAACCAAUAUACCAUCUUUAUGACGAUUGCUUGUAGAGGAGCAACUUCCGGAAUAGUGAUUACAGUUAGCCUCGGUUUUAGAAGUCAUCGUGAGCAACGUAAACGGCAGUAACAAUUUGUAGCAGAUUUCUGUACUACUGGAAGGGACAGAAUUAGUCCUCAACUAAUUUUGCUCCUUCGUUUCCUUCCACACGCACACUUGAGAGUCAUGAAGCCCCCAGGUCUGUGUAGUUCUCAGACAAGGACGACUUUCCUCUCAAAAACCAUGUGAGUGCCGGUACGGUUUAAGGCAUUGCAGGGUAACAGAAACUGUUCGGACUCUGCCCCGGCCCUCUGGAAGCAGAACCUUGCAAAGCUGGCUGGCCGGCUGGAUCACCUGAGGAGUGGAGAAAUGUCAGGUGUCCAGGGUGGCCCCAGGUGACCCUGAAGCAGUCCACGGGAGUCACAUUGGAGACCACGCCAGGUGCAGAUGCAGACACCUAUACCUAAUGCAAAUCAACAAUGGCAGGUGUUAUAGGUACAAGUAUCAAAAUCUGGGAGCAGGAGAGAAAAAGUCUAAGAGAAGACAAAAGUUGGUAAGAAUCCUGCAUCUGUUACAUGGUAAAAUAAAGCUGAGGCAACACGUUUGAA